rnacentral:lncRNA from 1 species
AAUUUUUCAGGAAGUAAGUUUCUCUUUAAUUCGGUUUAAGCUAUGUUUCAUCGCCGCAGGGCUAUAAAGAAGUUUUCCUAGUUCCAUAAUUUAUUUUGCUAUGUAACUAUAUGUAUAAGAAGCUAUGUAUAUCAAACAGUUAGUGACUCCGCAGUUGUAGGAUUUGUAUACUUUUAGUCGUUUAUUAUUAUAGAUGAGAUAAUUAUGUGAGCCCAUAUUAUAAAUGUGAUGUUUUGUUAAUUGGGCCCGAACUGUGGAAUGUUGUAGCUGAUAAAUUGGGCCGAGAUUUAAUAAAAU